rnacentral:lncRNA from 1 species
AACUGACAUAAGCUGACACUCUGCUGUAUAUCUUGGCACAAUAUUGCUUUCAUCUCUGGAGUCGGGUGUCUUACAAAUUUAACAUUGUCAGUUGGGACCGUCCAAAGAUAUUUACAGUAAUGCUGAGGUCAAGCAAUGGCAGUGGAACUGUACAGGAUGUGGGGGCUGGGCCAAAGCCGUGGGACUCCGGAUUUAUUUUGUGAGUUGGAGAAUUGUCUAGUCAUCAGACCAACAGAGGAGCAAACCUCUAACAGCAUCUCCCUGCUUCUUCCCACCCUCUCAACAGGAGGCAUUGGAGAAGGUUUAUCUAAUGACUGACAUCUGACGCAUAAGGUGCAGGCACACUUACUCAGGGUGCGAAUAUUUACUGAGUGUCUCUGUGGGGCCAUACACUACUCUAGGCACUGGACAUACACCAGUAAAGAGAAGCUGUCCUCAUCUGUCUUAUUUUCUGGUCUUAAAUCUAAAGCCAAGAGGCAUUUAGCAGCACAAAUCCUCUUCAGCAGUCAACACUCCCAAAGUUUCAGGCACUGAGGAAAAUAAAAACAAAACUGUGGCCCUUUCCCAAGAAGCGCACAGUGUCCACAAGAAUGUGAAAGCCAUCUGGAAACUGAUAAACUGCAAAAAGCUCAGCCAUCUUCUGUUGGCAAAAUAAAAGAAUGGAUGUCCUUGGAAGAACGAUGUCCUUGGAAAGUCAUCAAAUAAAAA